rnacentral:rRNA from 1 species
AUUGAACGCUGGCGGCAGGCCUAACACAUGCAAGUCGAACGGUAGCACAGAGAGCUUGCUCUCGGGUGACGAGUGGCGGACGGGUGAGUAAUGUCUGGGAAACUGCCCGAUGGAGGGGGAUAACUACUGGAAACGGUAGCUAAUACCGCAUAACGUCGCAAGACCAAAGAGGGGGACCUUCGGGCCUCUUGCCAUCGGAUGUGCCCAGAUGGGAUUAGCUGGUAGGUGAGGUAACGGCUCACCUAGGCGACGAUCCCUAGCUGGUCUGAGAGGAUGACCAGCCACACUGGAACUGAGACACGGUCCAGACUCCUACGGGAGGCAGCAGUGGGGAAUAUUGCACAAUGGGCGCAAGCCUGAUGCAGCCAUGCCGCGUGUAUGAAGAAGGCCUUCGGGUUGUAAAGUACUUUCAGCGGGGAGGAAGGGAGUGAGGUUAAUAACCUCAUUCAUUGACGUUACCCGCAGAAGAAGCACCGGCUAACUCCGUGCCAGCCGCCGCGGUA